rnacentral:rRNA from 1 species
UACGUAGGGUGCGAGCGUUAAUCGGAAUUACUGGGCGUAAAGUGUGCGCAGGCGGCAGAGCAAGUCGAGUGUGAAAGCCCCGGGCUUAACUUGGGAAUUGCGCUCGAAACUACUUUGCUGGAGUGCGGCAGAGGAAGGUGGAAUCCACGUUGUAGCGGUGAAAUGCGUAGAGAUGUGGAGGAACACCAAUGGCGAAGGCAGCCAUUC